rnacentral:lncRNA from 1 species
CACACAUUUAUAUAUUUCCCAUCCAUUUUCUCAUGUUUCUAGCACAAGUUCAUGCAAAACGACCACGUAUGGUCUUCUAUCUUUGUCAAUCCAUCAUCAAGUUUUCUUCACUAGUUUUAGACGCUUAACGUUUUCCACAAACGAUCUGUAAUAUUUAAAACAAUAGGUACAAAUGUAAUCUUGUUAACCAAUAUUAUGAAUGUUAUUAUAAAGUGUGUGUAUAUAUAUAUAGAAAAGUUUAAACGAGAACGCUAAAUAUUGUAAGAACCGUGAGAACGAAUGAAAAAAACCGUUGAGAACUUGGUAAAAAACAAUUCAAAUUCAAAAAAAAAAAAAAAAAAACUUUUAUCAUUAUUAUUCAAAUGAGUAAAUUACAAAAAUCGUCCUUUAUGUAUAUAUGUUAUUGCAAAGUAUGCCCUUUGUCUUCAAUAAUUACAAAAAUUCUACCUAAUGUUUACAAACUCUAACAAGUUAUAUCCUUUAUCCAAAACUCAGUUAAUUUUACAGUUAACUCUUGUCACGUGGGGCCCAUGUGAGGGUAUUAAAGUCUUUUAACCUACCCAUAUUUCCUUAGGAACAAAACCUGUUAGUAAGUUGUUGCUUAAACCAACAACACUAAGUUGUGAACAAUUAACAAUCUCCCACGGUAUCCGACCUGUAAACCGAUUACCAGACAACAACAGCGAGUUAACCCGAUCACAUUUCCUAAUCCAUCGCGGAAAUGGGCCUGAAAGUUGGUCCGAGUUCAAGUGUCCGGAGCAGAGUAAGUUUCCCAAUUUCAACCGGAAUCUUGUCGGGAAACUGGUUUUGUUCCAAAUUGAGCACUUCUAAUCGCUAGAGAUGUGAAAUGUUGCCGGAGAUUUUACUAGAGAGAUGAUUGGAUUUGGAAGAGCGACCGAGAACACUUAGGUUGGAGAAAGAAAACAGAGUGUCGGAAGUGGAGCCUGUGAGUGAGAUGUGUGGAAGAAUAAGGUGGGUGACUUGAUUAUUGUGGCAAGAAACACCUACCCAUUGGCAAUGGUGGGUGUUUGGGUUCCACGAGUGGAGAAUUAGUGGGUUUUAAAGGGUGUUUUUUUAAGGAAAUUAAGUUUUGUUUGUUUGUGGUGCUGUGUUCUGCAAUGGUGGAGCUACAAGUGAAGAAGAAGGUGACUGUGUAAAAACUCGUUCAGUGUCAUUGAUAAACCUAAGGGACGGUUUUGGGUUUUGGGUUUUGGGUUUCAGGUGAAUGAAUGAGAGUAGAUUAGGGUUAUUUGGGGUUUUAAAUGGGGGAGCAUAGGGUAGGUUAAAAGACUUUAUUGCUCUCACGUGGGCCCACGUGAUAAGAGAUAACUGUAAAAAUUAACUGAGUUUUGGGUAAAUGAUAUAACUUGUUAGAGUUUGUAAACAUUAGGUAGGAUUUUUGUAAUUAUUGAAGACAAAGGGCAUAAUUUGUAAAAACAUACAUACAUAAAGGACGAUUUUUGUAAUUUACUCUAUUCAAAUAUAAUGUUAGAAAUUUAAUUUACACGUUUAAAUUUACGUGAAUUCGUAAAUAAAGAAAAUUUACAAGUGUGUAAGUUUACCAUUUACACAUGUGUAAAUUUGUUAUAUUUACAUACGUGUAAAAAAUCUUAUA